UACGUAGGGUGCAGGCGUUAAUCGGAAUUACUGGGCGUAAAGCGUGCGCAGGCGGUUUGCUAAGACAGGUGUGAAAUCCCCGGGCUUAACCUGGGAACUGCGCUUGUAACUGGCAAGCUAGAGUGUGGCAGAGGGGGGUGGAAUUCCAGGUGUAGCAGUGAAAUGCGUAGAGAUCUGGAGGAACACCAGUGGCGAAGGCGACUACCUGGCCUGUUCUUGACGCUGAGGCGCGAAAGCUAGGGGAGCAAACGGG
rnacentral:rRNA from 1 species